AACGAACGCUGGCGGCAUGCCUAACACAUGCCAGUCGAACGAGACCUUCGGGUCUAGUGGCGCACGGGUGUGUAACGCGUGGGAACCUGCCCUCAGGUUCGGAAUAACUCCCCGAAAGGGGUGCUAAUACCGGAUAAUGUCUACGGACCAAAGAUUUAUCGCCUUUGGAUGGGCCCGCGUUGGAUUAGCUAGUUGGUAGGGUAAAAGCCUACCAAGGCGACGAUUCAUAGCUGGUCUGAGAGGAUGAUCAGCCACACUGGGACUGGGACACGGCCCAGACUCCUACGGGAGGCAGCAGUGGGGAAUAUUGGACAAUGGGCGAAGGCCUGAUCCAGCAAUGCCGCGUGAGUGAUGAAGGCCUUAGGGUUGUAAAGCUCUUUUACCCGGGAUGAUAAUGACAGUACCGGGAGAAUAAGCUCCGGCUAACUCCGUG
rnacentral:rRNA from 1 species